AUGAACGCUGGCGGCAUGCUUAACCCCUGCAAGUCGAACGGGAAGUGGUGUUUCCAGUGGCGAACGGGUGGGUAACGCGUAAGAACCUGCCCUUGGGAGGGGAACAACAACUGGAAACGGUUGCUAAUACCCCGUAGGCUGAGGAGCAAAAGGAGAAAUCCGCCCAAGGAGGGGCUCGCGUCUGAUUAGCUAGUUGGUGAGGUAAUAGCUUACCAAGGCGAUGAUCAGUAGCUGGUCCGAGAGGAUGAUCAGCCACACUGGGACUGAGACACGGCCCAGACUCCUACGGGAGGCAGCAGUGGGGAAUUUUCCGCAAUGGGCGAAAGCCUGACGGAGCAAUGCCGCGUGGAGGUGGAAGGCCUACGGGUCGUCAACUUCUUUUCUCGGAGAAGAAACAAUGACGGUAUCUGAGGAAUAAGCAUCGGCUAACUCUGUG
rnacentral:rRNA from 1 species